GAGAGCACACAGGGGAGAAAACACAGGGAGGCAGGCAGAGAACAGAAAACAAAGGAAAAAAGCAGAAAACUGAUAAAAAGGAGAAAAAAUCAGGACACUCACCGUCAGCCGGGCUGCCAACACAACAACCAGAUUAGAAAAAACAAUGUCGAUGUGAGGACAACCGGAGUGAUGCCACUCAACACAUCCUCAAGAUCCUGGUCGUCCAUGGUGCUGAUGGAGAAGAUACAGUGGAUGUAUCCAUCCUUCUUGAAUGCAAGGAGAUGUUGUCUGGAUGCUGCAGUGCUUCUAAAGCUUGCAUGCUCGUCACGGGAGUGAUUUAUGCCCUCAAUCUGGCAUACCCCCCCAACACUGGGGCAACAUUGCACUACAAUUUGGCGGUGUUUCAGAAACUUUCCCUAGAACUGGAUGGGAUUAAGCUGUCCCCAAAACUACAAGCUUUUAAGCAGCAGUUGCUGUCUUGAAUGCUAUUGCAAUAGCAAGUGUUAGACCAGGGAUGGUACAUCUUCACUCACUUCUCCAUCUUGCAAAGGAUUGUAACAAUUUAAAAAGACACCGUCACCUGCAUUGGACCCUCUGCUCUCACACAACAACUUGGUUUUAAAUGUCCACACAAAGACUUGCAGCAUCCAUCUCCAGCUUUGACUCUCCAAAAGACUGUUGGAUGUGGCCAGAUUUGACCAGGACUUUGAAAACAUUAUUUCUCUUUUUAAUUUGGGUUAAUGCAAAAAUAAUCACUGUGGAAUGAUAAUUUGCCAAUGUGAAUAUCAGUAUUCAUUCUAAACACGUGGUUCCAACAGUAUAUAAUGCACUUAAAAUGAUACCUUGCUCUCACCUUUUGUAGAGAAAGGUCAAUAUGUGGCACCUUGCCUUUGAGGUGAACUUUUCCCUGUCUGUAAUGUUUGCCAUUUUCUGUUAACUAAGGCAUCCUAUAUGUCUAUUAUUGAUGUUUAUGACAGAUAAAACAAAGAAAAGGUUAACAUUCUAUAUCUAAACUAAACUCUAAAUUGUUUUAAUGCAUUACGGUUUUAAUUGCGCACACAACAUGCACAAGUACAUAGUCUGGUUUGAAUGUUGCAGUUGCCUUUUUGUUCCAGUUUUACAGUGUUUUACAGUUAUUUUAUUUGAAAAGCCCCAUUUUAAAAUAUAUAUAUUGGAUGCAAUGGUUUUGUAUUUAAGAGCAAGGUAAUAUUGUCAAAUAUUUGCAAUAUUGACUGACAAAGAACAAAGAGGAGGAAUUGGUUGUUAAAAGUUUUCUUGUUUUUGUCAUGUGAUAUGCGAUUCUAUAUGAUGUUCUCUGAGGUCAAAGAAACCAUUUGGAAAUACAGUAAACUAGGAUUGGAUCAUUUCAGUGACACUGAGUUCAUUUUUCAUAAGUUCGUAUUGGUAAAUGGCAGUUGGAUUGUUUUACAGAACAGCAUUCAGUAGUACGUUUUUUCCCAAGAGAUCAGUGGAAAUAUACAUGCGGUGUACCAGUGAUACCACUGUUUCAUUUACGGCUGGUGAACUUUUACAUCCCCUCUUCAACAUGAGUUUUGUGAGUUGAGUAGAAGUAGAACAAUUCUACACGACUGUCAUUCAAAAUAAGAAAUGGUUUUAUUGAAUACACCUUAAACACUUGUUUCCAGGUGUCCAAGAGAUGUGAAUGCUAAUUGGUGUUUACUGUUCACAAAAUAAACAGUUAAAUUGAAUUUUGUAUUGUGUGAUUUGUACUGAAGUACAUUAAAUGCAUAGCAAAAAUGUAAGCUUUAUUAAAAUAAAAUGAGCAACAUUUA